CCAACAGGGAUUGCCUCAGUAACGGCGAGUGAAGCGGCAAUAGCUCAAAUUUGAAAGCUGGCUCCUUCGGGGCCCGCGUUGUAAUUUGUAGAGGAUGUUUCGGGCGCGGCGCCGGUCUAAGUUCUUUGGAACAAGACGUCAUAGAGGGUGAGAAUCCCGUAUGUGACUGGUGGCCUGUGCCCAUGUGAAACUCCUUCGACGAGUCGAGUUGUUUGGGAAUGCAGCUCAAAAUGGGAGGUGUAUUUCUUCUAAAGCUAAAUAUUGGCCAGAGACCGAUAGCGCACAAGUAGAGUGAUCGAAAGAUGAAAAGCACUUUGGAAAGAGAGUUAAACAGUACGUGAAAUUGUUGAAAGGGAAGCGCUUGCAAUCAGACUUGCGCGGCGUCGAUCAACCCGGGUUCUCCCUGGUGCACUCGGCGUCGCUCAGGCCAGCAUCAGUUUCGGCGGUGGGAUAAAGGCCUGGGGAACGUAAGUCGUCUCGGCGACCGUUAUAGCCUCAGGUGCAAUGCUGCCUGCCGGGACUGAGGACCGCGCUUCGGCUAGGAUGCUGGCGUAAUGGUUGUAAGCGACCCGUCUUGAAACACGGACCAAGGAGUCGUGCUAUUAUGCGAGUGUUUGGGUGUUAAACCCAUACGCGGAAUGAAAGUGAACGGAGGUGAGAACCCUUAAGGGUGCAUCAUCGACCGAUCCUGAUGUCUUCGGAUGGAUUUGAGUAAGAGCAUAAUGGCCCGGACCCGAAAGGCAAGUCUAACCCUAACCCUAACUUUUUUUUUGAAUCUUAAUACUAACUUUUUUUUAUAGAUGGUGAACUAUGCCUGAAUAGGGUGAAGCCAGGGGAAACCCUGGUGGAGGCUCGCAGAGGUUCUGACGUGCAAAUCGAUCUUCAAAUUUGGGUAUAGGGGCGAAAGACUAAUCGAACCAUUGGAACAAAAACCCUAGGUGGUUGAGAGGCCCUCCCCGGGGGGUCUAGUCGUUACGGCGGCGAUACUGUAAAAUUGCGGGGACAGCUCCAUAGGCGCAAAGCUACCACAGCGGACACGAAAGUGCCCGCCACGGUCACAAGGCUUGGCGACUGAGCCGAUUCGCAACCCUGUGCCUACCGUCUCACGACCACGGCCCGGGGCUCAUCGACUAGAUGGCAGUAGGCACGGUCACGUGUCUAAGGUAUAGUCAGACCGCGGCGGACCGACGCCGUGGGCUACCUG
rnacentral:rRNA from 1 species